ACGAUCUGUGGAAGCACCUGUAUUGCUUUGACCAUCGUGGUUAUCUGUGGUGUGUGUUUUUUACUGCGAUGGGAUCAGGCUCCUGUCACAUAUUACACAAGCCUCCUUGUCUUCAAUCUAUUCCAGUUCCCAUUUGUAAUGGCCGUGAAGAUCAGCGAUACAUCCUUCAGUAUUCCUCUUGUCAUUUAUCUCUCUGGUUUGAUGGCCACUCUUUACUUCAAGAUGUGCAUUGCUCUGGAAAGGUAUUUUUUCAUCGCAUUUCCGCUGUUGAAGUGCAUCAGGCAACCAAAAGGUUCUGUGCUGGUCUUUGUUUUGGUCUGGGUCCUUUGUUUUGUUAGUGCUGCUCUUGCUGUAACCAUAGAAGACUGUUCACGCUUAAUCAUUCAUGCCUUCUUCCCUGCCCCCGUGUUAAUCUUCUGUUUAGCUGGAACUAUCAAAGCCCUGCCUGCUGCCACAUCAGUCUCCACUGAGGAAAAGCGAAGAAUUGUGGGAACUUUGGUUUUGUUGCUAUUUAACUACUUUCUGAUAAACCUACCUGCAGUUACUCUAUCAAUAUAUCUAUCUGGCAACGUUGACCUAUAUUGCAUUGCAUUCCUAAUUUUUUUUCUUUUCGGUCACUUUGUAGACUUUACCCUGUUUAUUUUCAUGCAGAAUGGGCCCAUUAACAAGUUGCUGGCAUGUAUGUACUGCUGCAGCGAAACUGCAGCAGAUAUCAGCAGCAGAUCAUCAGUGUGACUGAUGGUAGCACAGGGAGUUGGGUUCAUGCAUUCAGAGACAAAGAGAGAAAGAGAUGGGGACUCACAUGAAGGUAGAGCUUAGAGAUUAGAGUGAAUUAAGCAAACACCAUCAUCUGCAAAUAGACAUCGGACAGCUCCAGGAUUUUAGAACUGCUGCUCUCAGCUGAAGCAUCUUUGGCUAUUGACCACCUGGCAUCCAGUUCUCAGUCAAUCUGAACCCGCCUAACAGGAAGCAUUGUUUUAUUUAAAUGGAUGAUAUGAAUGAAUGAAUUCUCCUGUACUCCUUCUAUUUUUAGAUAGUAAAUAAAGGUAGAAUUUUAAAAAAUAGUCCUUUAUUAAUGUUACAUUUACAUUUAAGCCUUUCUAGCACUUUUUUGAGUUUUGUGUUCCUCACAAUAACAUUUGUGUUUCCUCUGAUCUACUAGUUAUGAUUCCAUUAUGUACUACUAGUAAUAUGAAAUAUGUACCUGCAUACGUGCUUUGGCUGUGUUGGCUACCUGAAUAUAGUGAUUCAAUGUUGAGACUUUUUUUUGAAAACUU